GUUCACCAGCCCGAGUCAUCCACCUGGGAGAGGGGCUGCCGGGACCUCUGGCUUCAGGACUGGAGACCCACAAGGUCAAAACUCUCUGUGAACAUGACAUCAUCUGCCCCUUUGGCUCUUCUCCCACCAGCACACACUGGAGCUUUCCAGAGGCUAGGUGAUGUGUGGUGUCACUAUCUCUCUGACAGCUAAUGGAAUUUGUGGAUUCUUCGGUAUUAAUAGCCUCUUUAAACUUUGAAUAUGAUAAAUACUGAAAGAUAUUAUCACAGCAACAAAAGAAUUUUAGGCUCCUCAACCUCAAUUAUGAAAGAGGUCCUCAAAUCAAAAUGGUUGAGAGCUGGUGUUGGGCGGGGGAGGAUGUAUCCAAUUAAACUCUUUGUAACAUUUUUAUCUUUUAGAAUUCUUAAAUAUUCACUGAAUGACAGCUUUCAGAAUUAGACCUACAUUAUUAUCCUACAUCACUUUUGUGUGUAAAAAGGAAAAUAUAAGCAAAAUAAACUUAAAGAAUUCCUACAA